UGAGGAUAACAUCACCUUGAGAUAGUUACUAUGAUGUCGGCUCGGCUCACUCAGAGUGCAUGCACUACUCAGGCAAUGCAAAGUCCUCAUGCUUUGUUCUCUGAUUGAGCCGUGCCAAUAUCUUAGUACUCUUUCAUCCCU
rnacentral:miRNA from 15 species